GAUAAACGUUACUAGCAUUCCUCCUUUCACUUUUAGGGAUAGAUGUGUGUUUAGAGUACAAACAAAAAGUUGACGAAGAAGUUUUUGAAGUUCAAGGCACAAAAAAUCAACCAAAUACCCAAGGACCAAAAUAUGGGAGAGAAAAUAUAAAGCAAAAGUUACUCCCACUGUUCCAUGGAUUCUUCUUUUAUUUACAUGGGCAGUUCACUAAACCAACACCAGAACGAGAUGAUUUAUGCAGCCUUAUUCACGUAGGAGGUGGGAAAGUUCUUGCAAGAGAACCACGACCAGAAACUGUUUCAUCCAAACCUCAUAUGAUACCUUAUCAUGCUGCUAAUACAUCAAUGGAAGAUAUCAGUCAUAUUAUCCUUUAUCAAGAAAAACCACCUCGGGAGAGCCAUGUCCACUCUAGUCACAUUUGCACAGCACAAGUUAUGUGGUUAAUUGAAUGCAUUAGCACAUUUAAGAUAUUAGAUCCUCAGAUAAUUGAAAAAGCUAGGGGAAAAUAAACUUAUAAUGGAUAUAAAAAUGAUACUAAUAUAAAUAAAAUAAACAUUUUUCUCAAAAGAACUCUACAUGCAUACAGUUUUGUACUCUGAAGUGUAUUGUAAGUAAGCAUAAUAAUUUUACAUACUUAUUCCUUUUUAAUAAACUGCAUAUUUUUUGUCAAGUGCUAUAAUAAUGUAUAAAAAAUGUUACAGUGGUGAGUUUUAUUAAUGAUAUAUAUUCUUUAAAUGGUGAUGCCCAAAAUUACAAUCUGAAAGUCAUUGUUUGUCUUAAACUGAUACAGUCGUACCUCAGUAGUAUGCUUUGAAAUACUUCAACUUGGUGCAUAUCCUGUUCGAACAUGAAAUUUUUAUUUGAAACAUGAGUCUUGACCACAUAUUACACUUGAUUACCUCUUCUGAGAUAAUGGUACAACUGAUUAUGAACAUCAGCAUGGAUUUUCUGUAUCUAAAUUCUUUCAGAUUGAGUUUUUAAGAAAGUUAAUGAGAAGAAUUAAGCAAUGAUGAAAAUUGUUAGGAUCAUCAUGCAGGUGAAAAAAGAGAGUAGCAAGAAGACGAAUUUGUAUCUGGGACUUAUUAUUGCUGCACACCUAUUGCAUACCAUAUGCCAAGUACAAUUGUGAAAAACAAAGAUGCUAAUAAAUCUGCUAAUUUUGCGAAGGAGAUGAAAUAGAUUACCAAAUAAAGAAUAAAAAUGUUAGAAGUAUGUUGAAAAA